UGAAGCGAUGCACCACAGGGCGUUGGAACAGGAAGCGGAAUGACCCCCCCGUCCUCUUCCCACAACCCACAGUGCCAAAAUGGGACGAGGUGCUCUGUGGGAUAGCUGCCCACAAUGCACCACUCCCAACAGCGCUGCAAAUGUGGCCACACUGCAGCGCUUUCCCUACACAGCUGUACGAAGACAGCUGUAACUCCCAGCGCUGUACAAAUGUAAGUGUAGCCAUACCCUUAGUGCUUCACGAAAGCUUAUGCUCAAAUAAAUUAGUUAGUCUCUAAGGUGCCACAAAUCCUCCUGUUCUUUUUAUAAAUCAUGGCUGCUGAGCUGUGACAGUUUAAAACAGGAGGAUUUUCAUAGCAUAAACCUCAAGCGUAGAAGUGAGGUUUGAAAAAUCCAUCUGAACCCCGGGAGAGGCACAGAGCAGUCCCACUUGUGCCCUUGUGCUGAAUCAACAUUUCUGGAAGCAGCACCAGAGUGACUGAGCAGAGGCUGCCAAGUGUGCAAGACAAGAGCCUCAUGGCAGUGCUGACAGAGGUACAAGAGAGCUACUGAUACACAGCUGAGAUCGCCAACAAAUCUUCCAGCAAAAUCAAAGAAGCACAAAUGUGACAUUCCUGAGAUUUGAGUUGAAGCAGAAGCUGCUCUCCCCACAGCUUUUCAAUUAAACAUA